GACGAACGCUGGCGGCGUGCUUAAUACAUGCAAGUCGAACGAAGUGGCGAACGGGUGAGUAACGCGUAUUCAACCUGCCCUUCAGAGGGGGACCACAGUUGGAAACGACUUCUAAUACCGCAUACUGAAGGCGGGGAUUUCGUCUGAUUAGCUAGUUGGCGGGGUAACGGCCCACCAAGGCGAUGAUCAGUAGCCGGGCUGAUGGGAUGAACGGCCACAUGGGGACUGAGAAACGGACCAGACUCAUUCGGGAGGCAGAAGUGGGAAAUCUUCCGCAAUGGACGAAAGUCUGACGGAGCAACGCGGCGUGAGUGAUGACGGCCUUCGGGUUGUAAAGCUCUGUUAAUCGGGACGCGGUACCGGAAUAGAAAGCCACGGCUAACUACGUGACAGCAGCCGCGGUAAUUC
rnacentral:rRNA from 1 species